CCCACUCUAAUUUUCGAGUUAGGGCAUGUAAGAGAAGCUCGAACCCUAGAAUCUUUUAUUUUCAUUCUGCAUUCUGGAAAGAAGUCUUCGUGGUGGCUACAUGUUGUGAUGAAGUUUGUGCAUGUGCUCGAACUAAGGUUUUGGACAUGGGCCUUACAGGGAUCGAACUCAAAGUUCUCUGUGUGAGAUUUCUACCUUCAAUGUCACUGUCUUCACAUGAGGGAUGCAUGCAAAAGGUAAAUAUAGGGUUUUGACUGCUCUUUAUCUUACAAGAUCCUCCUAUAAACAUUCAAUGCACCCAUACCAGAGUGGCAUGCUCUUAAUAUCCUCUAUCUUAGUGACUUUAAUACUGUGAUACACUUUCAUUUUACUGCUCAGUGACCUCACUAGGGUGAUAUAAUGCAUGCAACUGCUAUAAGGUUGUAUGCUGCUAAUUGUUCAUGUUGUUUACUGUGCUAUGGCUUGAACGAGCUUGAUGUGCUAUAUCUCCGUGUCAUUAUGCUUUGAUGUCUUUCAUGCUUUUGUUUAUGCUGCAGAUCAUCCUUAUAUGAUGACUGUUGAAAGACAAUAAUUGACUACUACAAAUCUAUGUAUCUCACUGAUGUAAUUUAUUGUUCUAAUAGUCAUAAACAAUAAACUUUAAACCGAUCCAUGGUGAGUCAUUGCACUUUGUCUGUAUGCAAUCACUGUAUUCAUUUCCCUAAGAUGCUGCUAUAGGAUUUUGAGUGGAUCUUGAUCACAACUGUUGUAGUUUAUUGUUCCUUGUGAAUGGACAAGGACUUCGGAUCUCAUUACCUUGCUUUUUCUAUGAGGUGAUAAUGGUUGUUAUGAGGUUGUCAAAUAGAUCUGUGACUGAGAUAACGUCAUCUUUGUUGUGACAGUGAUUCAUCUUUAUGCUACUAAAGACUAAUCCGAUUUGUAUUAUCUAUGAUUCUUGCCACCUUCAAUGCUUUGAUUGCUAUCAUUACUGAAUAUAUGCAUGCUUCAUGUAGGCUGUUAUAUCUGAUUGUAUAUUAAGUCACUACCCACUCUCUAUAUAUCAUCAUGCAUCCAUUCAAAUAAUCCCUAAUGUUGCUCAUUUGAUGAACCUUCAAUGCCAUUGUAUAUAACUAAACCGUAUAUAUUAAUUAUCAUACUACAACUUUAUGACUGAAAUUUGCUUUGAAUGUUGUUCUGAGGGAAUUGUGACUUAAUACUGGGACCCAUGCGGUUAUUAUCAUUCCAUCUUGAAUAUCAUCGUGUCUGAAUUCUUUGAUACCUUGUUAUGACUGUCCUUGGAUCACAAACACUCUUCAUUUGUACUUGUUGUAGAUGCAUGAUAGCUUGGAUGCCCAUGUACAUUUCUCUUAAUCAACUUAUUAUUGUCAAAAGCCUGCACCUUAAUGUUCUUUUGAGACUUUGGUUUAUGCUUAAAUGUUUGUGGUUAUCUUUUGAUCAUGUGGACUGAUGCUAAUUCUGAUUGAACCUUCUCUGGGAAAUAUCACUUUCCUCAUCUUUGACUGGGCUUCUUCAUAACUUGCAACAGUACAUAUCUUGCAACAGUACUUUGGAUCCUUUAUUUGUCUCAUAUGCUGCAUGAGUGUCAUUUCAUGAGUGACUAUUCUAAGACUAUUUGGAUAGUGGUAACUUCUGUGUGUUUCCCUUGAGGCCUUGAAGCUUUAUUUGAACCUACUAGUACACCCAUUGUCAUCUGAUAAUUUGAUCCCAUUAUAUGUCAGUGUGUGCGCUAAUGGAUGUAGGUACUUGUUCUUUGAUGGCUCAUAUAAUAAUUGAUAUUCUAUAUUUGACUGUUCUGGUAUUAAUACUCAGUAUGCUAAGAUCUACCCUUGUGGGAGCCAAUUUUAAUCUACAUACUUGAACAUGGAGUAUUAUCAUGAACCUGUACUUGCACACUGAACAAACAUGUUAGAUAAAACAUGAUAUUUGUUUUUAUCUCAUGACAUUCUCCCGAUUCCUCUGAUAUCUUUUUUAUGAAUCUGGCUCACUGAUAGCUGUAGGCAUAUGUUUUGAUAUCCUUAUGCAGAUAGACUAUGCAUUCUGAUGAGUUUGAGUGUGAAAGUAUGGUUAUCAUCAUUUCUCUAACAUAAUUUUUCAAUUCUUACAUGAACUAAUGGAAUGAGAGCGGGAGAAGUUGAAGAUGGAUGAGUAGAUGAGGAUGCAACCACUCCUUCAAGCUCAGGCUCACCAUUCCAGGCAAUGACGGGUCACCUUACUAUUACACUCAUGCUUUCAUUUAUUUAUAUAGCUUAGCUAUAUAACUAUAUGAGAGUGUAUGUCUCUAGCUAGUCAACUAUUCCCACUGAUAGUGUAUGUCUGUAGCUAGUCAACUAUUCCCACGACUCGUGUGGGACACCUUACACAUUUUUUUAAUAUAAGAACUAUUUCUAUGCAA